rnacentral:tRNA from 1 species
GCGGCGGUGGCGGAAUGGUAGACGCGGGGCCCUCAAAAGGCCUUGUCCGAAAGGGUGUGUGGGUUCGAAUCCCACCCGCCGCA